GAAAAGAGUUUUCAUAAAGAUCACAAUUGAAUUUGAGCUGAUCGAAUCUAUCAUAUGACUAAUGAUGAGGUUUGAUGAUUUAUCCAUGACCUACCAUCUAGUCGGGACUCACGAUAAAGGAACUGAAUCAUAUGUGAACUACACCUUAAAAUUUUUUUUGAUUCUACUGGAUUGCCACUACAUACUGUUAGGUAUCACUGG
rnacentral:lncRNA from 1 species